rnacentral:lncRNA from 1 species
GAGAUCAUGUUAAUCACCCCUGCAGUCGGUUGAUUAUUUACAGCUUCCUCAAUUUGCAAUUGAGGUCAUCGAUCAGCAGGAGGUUGAGUCGGCAGAUCUCUCCGAUGUUUUUUUGAGAUAGCCUCGUCGAAUCAGGACUUCUAUUUCAUCCUUGAGCUGGAUGCAUUAUUCGGUAUCAUGAUCGUGAUCACGAUGGAACCGAUAAUAUUUUCUCUGAUCGC